rnacentral:rRNA from 1 species
ACCAGACUCCUACGGGAGGCAGCAGUGAGGAAUAUUGGUCAAUGGGCUUACGCCUGAACCAGCCAAGUCGCGUGAGGGAAGACUGCCCUAUGGGUUGUAAACCUCUUUUGUCAGGGAGCAACGCCGGCUACGUGUAGCCGGACUGAGAGUGCCUGAAGAAAAAGCAUCGGCUAACUACGUGCCAGCAGCCGCGGUAAUACGUAGGUGGCAAGCGUUAUCCGGAUUUACUGGGUGUAAAGGGCGUGUAGGCGGGAUGGUAAGUCAGAUGUGAAAACUAUGGGCUCAACCCAUAGCCUGCAUUUGAAACUAUCGUUCUUGAGUGUUGGAGAGGCAGGCGGAAUUCCGUGUGUAGCGGUGAAAUGCGUAGAUAUACGGAGGAACACCAGUGGCGAAGGCGGCCUGCUGGACAAUAACUGACGCUGAGGCGCGAAAGCGUGGGGAGCAAACAGGAUUAGAUACCCCCGUAC